rnacentral:rRNA from 1 species
UCAAUGGACGCAAGUCUGAACCAGCUAUGCCGCGUGAAGGAUGAAGGUCCUCUGGAUUGUAAACUUCUUUUAUCUGGGACGAAAACGGGAUUUUUAUCUCAAUUGACGGUACCAGAGGAAUAAGCACCGGCUAACUCCGUGCCAGCAGCCGCGGUAAUACGGAGGGUGCGAGCGUUAUCCGGAUUUACUGGGUUUAAAGGGUGCGUAGGUGGGCUUAUAAGUCAGUGGUGAAAUCUCCGAGCUUAACUUGGAAACGGCCGUUGUUACUAUAGGUCUUGAAUUAUCUGGAGGUAAGCGGAAUAUGUCAUGUAGCGGUGAAAUUCUUAGAUAUGACAUAGAACACCAAUUGCGAAGGCAGCUUACUACAUAUAAAUUGACGCUGAG